CUCCACCCCCGCUGCUCAGAGGAAGAAGGAGCCGGGAUGUGCCGGUCACCGCCCCGUCCCGCCCCGCUCCAGGCGGCACCAGGAAAAAAUGAAACUGGUACAGGCACUGUUUCCUUCUUUGCCAGAUGCCCUACCUCUCUAAGGUAAAAAUCCUCUAGGUGUGACAUGGUGUUUUUAAGGGACUGCUUUUCGAGCAUGAAGUUGUUACGUCCGUGCUUUCUAGAAUACAUAUAGGCAAUCUGGUGAUUAUUUUCACUGACUGCCGGGUGAAGUCAGCGGAAAUCCCUGCACAGCGGGAUUUUACCUGCGAGUGUCCGGCUUCCCGAAACACGCCGACGGCCGCCUCAUCCUUGCUACUGACGCGCACCCCCGUGUGGGCAAAUUCUGUGUCGUUCUCGCCUCCUCCCGGUUUCCUAAAGUACGUGGGCGAGAACAGAAUCGUCUAGCCAUCCAUCGUGCCAUCCUCAGGGGAUCUUCACAGUCACAGGAUAUUCUGAGUUGGAAAGGAUCCACACGGGUCAUCGAGUCCAACUCUUAAAUGGCCCGUGGCUGAUUGAACGCGUAACUUCAGCGUUGUUAGCACCAUGCUCUACCGAGUCAAUCAUUGCAGCCCCCUCCCCAGCCUCCAUACAUCUUCCAGAGCAGCAGCUCCCCUCCUCAAAGCCAACUGCAAAGAUCUUUGAAAAAGAAAAAAAAAAUUAAACAGCAACCAUCGCUCACCACACGUGCUUCACUUCUUCAGGCUGGUGGUGAGACUCAAAGGUUUUAUAAACUUCAUUGACUUGCACAGUAUAACCAAACUAGAUAGAAGAAUAUGAGAAAGGGGGUCUUGCCUGUAAGCACUGAAGUCAUGCUUUAAACAAAAAAACUAGAGAAUUAGACCUUAAAGACUGAUUCAAAAAUUCCCUAGAGAAGACAGAAAACCCUUAUCAAAAGUGAAUUACUAACACACAGUCUCAUAUGGCAAGGGAAACUAUUACAUGUAAAGGCAGGCUUGUGCACUUAACUCGUGAGUAUAAUGGUCUUUCCAUACCUCACCAUACUGCACCAUACCAUGGCAUGCCAUCCCACACCAUACCCAUAACCAUUACCAUGUCAUACCAUACCACACCACAGCACUCCAUAUAUUCUUCAUUCAUGCCAUUAAGAGGAAAACUGCUUGAAUGACAGCAAAAACUUUAAUAAGAUUGACUGCAUUUCCAUUUUACAGCUCUUUAGCCUUCUAUCCUACUAUAAGUUUCUGAAGCUUUCAUACAUUGCUAUGGAACUUCAUUUCUCUCAAUCAUCAAUUCCUUUCCACCAACACCGAUUUUAGACUAUGGAAUGUGUAGAAAGAUGUUUCCAUAGC